rnacentral:rRNA from 1 species
UACGGGGGGGGCAAGCGUUGUUCGGAAUUACUGGGCGUAAAGGGCUCGUAGGUGGCCAACUAAGUCAGACGUGAAAUCCCUCGGCUUAACCGGGGAACUGCGUCUGAUACUGGAUGGCUUGAGUUUGGGAGAGGGACGCGGAAUUCCAGGUGUAGCGGUGAAAUGCGUAGAUAUCUGGAGGAACACCGGUGGCGAAGGCGGCGUCCUGGACCAACACUGACACUGAGGAGCGAAAGCCAGGGGAGCAAAUGAG